GACGAGGAGGCGCGAGUCGUUGUUCGGAUUAUUGGGCGUAAAGAGCUCGUAGGCGGCUCGUUGCGUCGGCUGUGAAAACCCGCAGCUCAACUGUGGGCUUGCAGCUGAUACGGGGCGGGCUGGGAUUCGGUAGGGGAGACUGGAAUUCCUGGUGUAGCGGUGAAAUGCGCAGAUAUCAGGAGGAACACCAAUUGCGAAGGCAGCUCGCUGGGACGUUACUGACGCUGGAGACGCGAAAGCCGUGGGGAGCAAACAGG
rnacentral:rRNA from 1 species